CGAUCUCUCUCUCUCUCUCUCUCUCUCUCUCUCUCUCUCUCUAUAUAUAUAUAUAUAUAUAUAUAUAUAUAUAUAUAGAACUAGGCUACUAUACUAUCGGUAGCACGGAGCGCUCCGUGCUACCAAGUUGUUUUCGAUGAUGCGGCUUCCAAAUCGACGAUCGGCUCCGUUAGACUUGAUCUACACUAUUGAAAGUAUUUGGAAACUAAAUUUCAGAUUUUUUCGACAUCAUUUGACUAGUGAUCAAAAGAUCUCAAAAUUGACAAUUUUAAUAGCCGAUGUGGUGUGUUUGUGAGUUUAACGGUGUAAAACAAUCCAAAUGCGAUGAAAAUUUUAUAGAAAAUUCUUUUCACUAUUUAGAGUAAGAUCAGUGUAUCUGAUCUUGAAUUUAAAUCUUUUAUCAUCAUUUUUCAUGAGAUUUUUAUUUUCAGUUGUUCAAUUUUAGACUACUUGUUUGAUAGGUAAAUGGUAUCGAAAAAUUAUGAAAUUUAGUUUCUAAAUACUUUUAAUAGUGUAGAU
rnacentral:lncRNA from 1 species